rnacentral:rRNA from 1 species
GACGAACGCUGGCGGCGUGCUUAACACAUGCAAGUCGAACGGAAAGGCCCUGCUUUUGUGGGGUGCUCGAGUGGCGAACGGGUGAGUAACACGUGAGUAACCUGCCCUUGACUUUGGGAUAACUUCAGGAAACUGGGGCUAAUACCGGAUAGGAGCUCCUGCUGCAUGGUGGGGGUUGGAAAGUUUCGGCGGUUGGGGAUGGACUCGCGGCUUACCAGCUUGUUGGUGGGGUAGUGGCUUACCAAGCCUUUGACGGGUAGCCGGCCUGAGAGGGUGACCGGCCACAUUGGGACUGCGAUACGGCCCAGACUGCUACGGGAGGCAGCGGGGGGGAAUAUUGCACAAUGGGCGGAAGUCUGAUGCAGAAACGCCGCGUGCGGGAUGACGGCCUGCGGGUUGUAAAACGCUUUCGCCUGUGACGAAGCGGGAGUGACGGUAAUGGGUAAAGAAGCACCGGCUAACUACGUG